UUGACGACAAUUAUCCAAACAACAUAUAUAGUUACUUAAUUGCAAGGUUUUCUCUGAUGAAAACCUAUUGGUUAAGGUGGACGUACAAGAGUAUGUGGAAUCUCUCUUGUUCAAGAAAAUUGCUAUUUUAGGUGAGCUAUGUGGGUCAUGUCCAACAAAAGUGCCCCUGGUCCAUCUUGAUGGAAUUCUGAUGCAAGUUGCUUGUUAAUGAGUAAACUUUUAGAUACAUGCAUUUUCUUAACAGGUUCACUAUUUCUUUUUAAUUUGUUCUUGCACUUUCAAUUUAGUAAGUCAAUCAUGGCUGGCAUUAUCCUGAGAGAAACCAGAUGUGCAUUGAUGAACCUAACUUUGUACUUAAAGCUAUGUGCUUUAUGGUUGCAAAUGUAUUUAAGAACUAAUGGUGGGUAGAAAGUAUGAUUCGCAUGUUAAUUACAAUUAGACUUUUAUGCAAAGAAG
rnacentral:lncRNA from 1 species